rnacentral:lncRNA from 1 species
UUCCUCCCCCCUUACUUCAUCAAUCGUAUUUUUCUCAAUCUCCACACUUUUUUUCUUUUCAACUUCACCAUUCUUUUUGUUCUUUUCAACUUCUUCCUCCUCACUCCACUCCCCCACUUCACCAUUAAUAUUUUCCUCAACUAUUUCCUCCUCAUUUUCUUUCUCAUCUCCUUUUUUAUUCUCACUAAUUAACUCCCUCCCACUUCUCGUCAUGAUCGCUUUACAAUGCUCC